rfam:Leucosporidium creatinivorum strain 62-1032 BCR35scaffold_133, whole genome shotgun sequence.
GGCCUGCUGGCCCAAUGGUCAAGGCGUCUGACUACGAUUGAAUCAUCAGCGCAUCAGGAGAUUCCAGGUUCGAGUCCUGGGUAGGUCA